GGGGUUGGGGUUCAGUGGUAAAACACUUGCCUAGCAUGCAUGAGGCACUGGGUUCAAUUCUCAGCACCACA
rnacentral:tRNA from 1 species